UACGUAGGGAGCAAGCGUUGUUCGGAUUUACUGGGCGUAAAGGGCGCGUAGGCGGCGUGUCAAGUCGAUUGUGAAAUCUCCGGGCUUAACUCGGAACGGCCAAUCGAUACUGACGUGCUAGAGUGCAGAAAGGGCAAUCGGAAUUCUUGGUGUAGCGGUGAAAUGCGUAGAUAUCAGGAGGAACACCGGUGGCGAAGGCGGAUCUCUGGGCCUAACCUGACGCUGAGGCGCGAAAGCUAGGGGAGCAAACAGG
rnacentral:rRNA from 1 species